AGAGGAGGAAAAAGUGACGGAAAAACUAGCAAAAAUUGAAAUAUAAAGAGACAGUACUUCUUCUUCUUCUUUCUUGUCCUUGUCUUUCUCUCUAAUUCUCUCUCUCUCUCUCUUCCU
rnacentral:ribozyme from 1 species